rnacentral:tRNA from 2 species
GGUCGCGUAGCUCAGGGGAUAGAGCAACUGCCUUCUAAGCAGUCGGUCGCACGUUCGAUUCGUGCCGCGAUCA